AUUGAACGCUGGCGGCAUGCUUUACACAUGCAAGUCGAACGGCAGCGCGGGCUUCGGCCUGGCGGCGAGUGGCGAACGGGUGAGUAAUACAUCGGAACGUGCCCAGUAGUGGGGGAUAGCUCGGCGAAAGCCGGAUUAAUACCGCAUACGACCUGAGGGUGAAAGCGGGGGAUCUUCGGACCUCGCGCUAUUGGAGCGGCCGAUGGCAGAUUAGCUAGUUGGUGGGGUAAAGGCCUACCAAGGCGACGAUCUGUAGCUGGUCUGAGAGGACGACCAGCCACACUGGGACUGAGACACGGCCCAGACUCCUACGGGAGGCAGCAGUGGGGAAUUUUGGACAAUGGGCGAAAGCCUGAUCCAGCAAUGCCGCGUGUGUGAUGAAGGCCUUCGGGUUGUAAAGCACUUUUGGCGGGAACGAAAAGGACUGUGCCAAUACCACGGUUCGAUGA
rnacentral:rRNA from 1 species